UACGUAGGGGGCAAGCGUUGUCCGGAUUUAUUGGGCGUAAAGAGCGUGUAGGCGGCCAGACAGGUCCGUUGUGAAAACUCGAGGCUCAACCUCGAGACGCCGAUGGAAACCGUCUGGCUAGAGUCCGGAAGAGGAGAGUGGAAUUCCUGGUGUAGCGGUGAAAUGCGCAGAUAUCAGGAAGAACACCCGUAGCGAAGGCGGCACUCUGGGCCGAUUCUGACACUGAGGAGCGAAAGCGUGGGGAGCGAACAGG
rnacentral:rRNA from 1 species